AUGUGCUUCGGCGAGGUGGGUCAAGCUAGCGCACGCGCAAAGAGUUGCUCCGGCGCGGGCGCCGCUGAGGUGGAGGUGGAGCUACGGCGGCUGGUGGUGGACGGUCGUCACGUCGAUGUUAACUUCGACGAGUUCCAUCACCUCCACUACUACCUCAGGUUCCUUGCUUGCUCGCCGUUGGGUCCGAUCGAGGCUCAGUCCUCACCCUUGUGGCCAUAUCCCUCUCUAUCGGAACCAACGGCCAAAUCGGGCUUGUCGUUCGGCGGAGGCAGGGUCAAGGAGGAGGAGGCAGUGAACGGAGAAGGAAGGAGGCGCUGGGGUGCCAGCGGAUGUUCACCUGCCACCUUGCUUGUUGUUCGCUAG
rnacentral:rRNA from 1 species